rnacentral:rRNA from 1 species
UACGUAGGGUGCGAGCGUUGUCCGGAAUUACUGGGCGUAAAGAGCUCGUAGGCGGCUUGUCGCGUCGUCCGUGAAAACCUGCGGCUCAACUGCAGGCUGGCGGUCGAUACGGGCAGGCUGGAGUUCGGUAGGGGAGACUGGAAUUCCUGGUGUGAGCGGUGAAAUGCGUAGAGAUGUGGAGGAACACCGAUGGCGAAGGCAGCCCCCUGGGUCAAGAU